GAUGAACGCUGGCGGCGUGCCUAAUACAUGCAAGUCGAGCGAACAGACGAGGAGCUUGCUCCUCUGACGUUAGCGGCGGACGGGUGAGUAACACGUGGAUAACCUACCUAUAAGACUGGGAUAACUUCGGGAAACCGGAGCUAAUACCGGAUAAUAUAUUGAACCGCAUGGUUCAAUAGUGAAAGACGGUUUUGCUGUCACUUAUAGAUGGAUCCGCGCCGCAUUAGCUAGUUGGUAAGGUAACGGCUUACCAAGGCAACGAUGCGUAGUCGACCUGAGAGGGUGAUCGGCCACACUGGAACUGAGACACGGUCCAGACUCCUACGGGAGGCAGCAGUAGGGAAUCUUCCGCAAUGGGCGAAAGCCUGACGGAGCAACGCCGCGUGAGUGAUGAAGGUCUUCGGAUCGUAAAACUCUGUUAUUAGGGAAGAACAAAUGUGUAAGUAACUAUGCACGUCUUGACGGUACCUAAUCAGAAAGCCACGGCUAACUACGUG
rnacentral:rRNA from 1 species